UACGUAGGGGGCAAGCGUUGUCCGGAUUUAUUGGGCGUAAAGAGCGUGUAGGCGGCCAGACAGGUCCGUUGUGAAAACUCGAGGCUCAACCUCGAGACGCCGAUGGAAACCGUCUGGCUAGAGUCCGGAAGAGGAGAGUGGAAUUCCUGGUGUAGCGGUGAAAUGCGCAGAUAUCGGGAGGAACACUGGUGGCGAAGGCGGUUCUCUGGGCCUUACCUGACGCUGAGGAGCGAAAGCGUGGGGAGCGAACAGG
rnacentral:rRNA from 1 species